GCGGCGGGAGGGGCAGGAGGAGGAGGAGGAGGAGGUGUCAUGGCGGCGGCGGGCGCGGGCUCCUCGGCGCGGGGCGGCGGCGGCUCCUCCACCGCGUCACGCUGGUUCUUCAGCCGGGAGCAGCUGGAGAACACGCCCUCCCGGCGCUGCGGCGUGGAGGCCGACAAGGAGCUCUCGUACCGGCAGCAGGCGGCCAACCUCAUUCAAGAUAUGGGCCAGCGCCUCAACGUAUCUCAGCUUACGAUAAAUACUGCAAUUGUUUACAUGCACAGGUUUUAUAUGCAUCAUUCCUUCACAAAAUUUAAUCGAAAUAUAAUAUCUCCUACAGCAUUGUUUUUGGCUGCAAAAGUGGAAGAACAGCCACGGAAACUUGAACAUGUUAUUAAAGUAGCACAUGCCUGUCUUCAUCCUCAAGAGCCACAACUGGAUACAAAGAGUGAUGCAUAUCUUCAGCAAGCCCAAGAGCUGGUUAUACUUGAAACAAUAAUGCUUCAAACUUUAGGUUUUGAGAUUACCAUUGAACAUCCACACACAGAUGUUGUGAAAUGUACGCAAUUAGUGAGAGCAAGCAAGGAUUUGGCACAGACAUCCUAUUUCAUGGCUACCAACAGGUUGUUAUCCUGAACCUCUUUGUUGCACUGUUGUAGCACACUAUAGCUUCCUUUACUGCAGGGCCCCCGACAUGUGUCUUACCCUUGUUGCACCAGGCGACUGGGCCAUCUCCAGUGGUGGUACCUUCCUGGGUGCAGUGCGGUGUAUUGGACAAGGGUCUGAUGGCACAAAGGGGUUAAAUGCACGAUGAGAAGUGUAGUGGUGCUUUCUGAUGGCAUUUUUCUCGAUUGUGAGUGCAUAAGUCUAAAAUUGGUAGCCUGAAUAGCAGCUAAAGAUUACAAAGAGCUAAACUUAACCUAGAAAUUCGAGCAUCUUGCCUUCACCUUACUACAUUCUGUCUUCAGUACAAGCCCACAGUGAUAGCAUGUGUGUGCAUUCACUUGGCCUGCAAGUGGUCCAACUGGGAGAUUCCAGUAUCAACUGAUGGAAAACACUGGUGGGAAUACGUAGAUCCUUCAGUUACUCUAGAAUUACUAGAUGAGCUAACUCAUGAGUUUCUACAGAUACUGGAGAAAACACCGAGCAGGCUCAAGAGAAUUAGAAAUUGGCGGGCUAAUCAAGCUGCUAGGAAACCUAAAGGUGAUGGACAGGUAUCUGAGAACUCACUUCUUGGUUCAUCUUUGGUCCAGAAUUCCAUUUUGGUGGAUACGGUUACUGGUGUAGCUGCAAACACGAGUUUCCCAAAACCAUCAACAUCAUUUCCUGCACCGGUACCUCUGACCUCAGGAAGUAUUUCUGUUCCAGACAGUCAUGCACCUGAAAAUUUGGCAAUACUAGCUACAGGAAUGCCAAGUACCUCAUACAGUUUGGCAUCACACCAGGAAUGGCCUCAGCAUCAAGAACAAACAAGGACAGAACAAAUAUACUCUCAAAAACAGGAGACGUUACCUGCCAGUCAGUACAACAUGACCUUCCAACCGGGGACGUCCGUACAGUUGCACUCUGGAGUACAUCACAGACCUGACAAACUCGCUGAGCAUUCUGCUGUCAAACAAGAAUAUUCUCAUAAGUCAGGAAACAAACACCAUGGACAAGCUGCUGCUCCCGUAAUAAUUCCUCAAAAAAUGUCUUUGGAUAAAUACAGAGAGAAGCGCAAACUUGAAACCCUUGAACUGGAUGUGAGAGAACACUACGUAGCAACCCCAGGCGAACAGCAGCACAAAAAACACACACAGCCCCAGCCAGGUGGCAGUUCCUCUGUUACAUCGCCUAUUAAAAUGAAAAUUCCUAUUGCAAACGCAGAGAAGCCUGAAAAACACUUGUCGGACAAGAAAGAAAAGGGUGGCUCGCUCAAACUCCGUAUACCAAUCCCUCCCACGGAAAAGGGUGCCAGUAAGGAGGAGCUGAAAAUGAAAAUUAAAGUUUCUUCCUCAGAAAGGCACAGCUCAUCGGACGAGGGCAGCGGGAAAAGUAAACAUUCGAGUCCCCACCUUAGCAAAGAGCAGAAGGAAAAACACAAAGAACACUCUUUAAAUCGCCACCACGGCAUCGGUCACAAGCACGCCCACGUGCACGGUGGUGGCGGCGGCGGUGGCGGCAGUAAGCAUAGUGCUGAUGGAGUGACACCAACUGUUCUGAGGAGUCCCGUUGGCCUGAGUAGCGAUGGCAAUUCCUCUAGUUCCGGCUCUUCGAGAAAGAAGUUGCACAGCAACGAUGCUUCUCACAACCACCACUCCAAAAUGAGCAAAAGUUCCAAAAGUUCAGGUGGGCUACGGACAUCUCAGCACCCUCGUGAAACUGGACAAGAAACCAGUGGAGAACGGUCCUGAUGCCCAUCACCAGUACAGUACAAACAGCCAGCAUAUGGACUACAAAGAUACAUUCGACAUGCUGGAUUCGCUGUUAAGUGCCCAAGGAAUGAACAUGUAGUCAAUUCUUAGGUUGUUUUUCUUUACUUUUUUAAUUUAAGAAUUGUUAGAAUGGAAAACUUUCCUAAUACAGUAGCAGCAACGCCAGCUGUUGCUGCGCUGGUUUCAGUAUAUAUAAGUGCUGCUUUAUCCUUCACUCUGAAAAGAAGAGGUCUAGUAAACACGUCUUUAUCUCCACAUACGAUAGUGUUAUAAGUACUGUAAUAGCAUGGAAGGUGCAAAAAUCUCUAUUUCUACAACUGCAGCUAAGAGCAGUAGAAUGACUGUCCGCUUUUAGGUGUAUAGGAUGCCUUGAGCAUUGAUUAUUUAUAAUUUUGAAUACUGCAGCCACAACUUUUUGUUGCGUAGUUUUUGGAUGAGUGUAUUUGUUUUCCUGUGUAUUUAUACUGUAUGUAUGAUUUGCAUGUUUCAAAGAUAAAGGGAUUAAAAACAGUAUACUGACAACUGUUUACAAGAAAGUGGAGAAAAAUGUACAUACAUUUUUGUAUGUUUAGAUAUACCAUAAAUACUCAGGAUUGGAGCUGCUUGUAAGUAUAACAAAAUACACAUAACUUUAUUUUAUCUUGCCAGAGUCCAUCAGUAUCCAAACCAAGAUGGCACUUUGUCUUCUUUAUCUUUAAACUGUAGGCCUUAUUGGAAGCCGCUUAAAGGGGACACUUCACUAGAGAAGGUGUUCGGUACCACGUAGGGUCAGCACUGGGCAGUAUUAGCAGGGAGGCAGGGAAUUGGGUAGGCCUCUGCUCCCUCCUUAUGGCCAGACCUUGCAAAUGUCCCUUCUUUUCUGAAGGAAAAAAGGGAAUUAAAAUAAAAGUUUACAUAAUCUCUUGAUGUGAAGUGCAUUUAAAUGUUUAUUGGCUUGAUGCAGUAAAAUAGACACAGAGCUGUUAAUAAUGGUUAUGUAGAUUAAUGUGACUUAACUGCAGUUCGUAACUGUCAUUGUGGAAAAAGUCAUCUUUAAAAAAAAGUCAUAAAUUAUUUUAAUAGUUAACCGGGGGUCACUGUUUCCAUUACCAUUUCAGAAUAAUACACACGUUCUGAAAUCCAAAAAGUGUACUUGUGUGUGAUGCCAUAUUUCUUUUACAGGUGAAUGCAGUCUUCACAGUAAAUAAGAAUUAAACUUGAUAUCCCAACUUUAUAUUCUGACAAUAAAAUAGUUAUCAUUGAUUCUGUGUAUUGUACUUGUCAUCAGUUACCAAAUUGGAAGAUACUUGUUCUGUUUUUUCAGCUCUGUGGGGGUUAAAAAUGAUCAGUCUCCCAGUUAAGCCACUGGCAUGUUUUAGCUGCCUGCGGUGUCAGUGCGGUGGCUUGUGCGCUCUUCCCAGGGUGUGUUGCUCUUCAGAAGAAGUGACAGGUGUGAAUGUUCGUGUGUUCUCAAAGCCAAUACUCCAGAUAACCGUGACCUGACUUCCUGGGUUGUCACUCCAGACUCAUAAGCUAUGAAGUACCUCAACAUGAACUCAGUAGGCAGUAGCAACAGUAGGUUUUCAGUGACUUCUUUUAACGUAGAAGUGAACACGAUGUGAAGUAACGUUUUGCUAAGCCACCUCAUUCCCUUCAUGCCCGUGUAAUUUUGUAUGUCUCGGACGUUACACCUGAAGCUCAGCCCUUCAGUUGCGUUACUCACGUGUGCUUUAAAUGACAAAACUGUUCCGUAUCUACUCGGUUGGUAGUUGCUGUAUUAUGUAACUACAGGUAUAUCAAUUACUAUGUAAUACUCUCUUUCCAGUAAUGCACACUUGUACCUACUUGAAUAAGUAUUAUUUGAACUAUGGAUACUUUUUUUACACUUAAGGAAUAUUUAAAUGGACACACGAUCACAUUUUCUGCUAAAUCUAAGCUUAAAUCUUGGCUCAUGUACAAAAUCUGAAGUUGUCUUAUCCCUACCGACUUGGUUAUUUUUCUACAUUUGGAUUGUAACUUCUUGUUACAUACUUCUGCAUUGUUGAAUAUUUUCUAUCCUUUUAUAGUCUGUUUCCUUUCCAUCUCAGCGCUACUCUUGGGUCUGAUUUUUAACAUAUGUAAUCUCUGUUAUAUACUGUCCAAAACUAUAGCGUGGGCAGACAGAUGAAAUAGCAGUAAAUGGUCUUAAUCUUUCUUUGAAGCACUACAGUACUUUCUUUUUGAGUCUGUUGAAAUAGCUGUGCCAUGAAAUGCAUCUUAUACAGCCACUCUGGAUAAGCAAUAUAUUGUACUGUAAAUAUAGCAAUUGCUGUCAUAACUUGGAUUUAAAGUGUCUGGAUGGUAACUAGUGCCUGUCUGAUAUAAACUGGAAAAGAGCAUAGGCCUUCGUCCUAAGGUGCUGUUUCAAAAGAAAUGUUUCCUAUUUUGAUUCCGGGAAAUUGUGAAAUAUCAUGGAUAAAAUGUUGCUAUUUUACAUUGAGAUCCAAACAGUGAUAUUUUUUGGUUUCUCUGUAAAGGAUGUCCAUAGACCUCGUCGGUUUUGGUUUUCAAUGUGAUUGUAAAUACAUGAAACUCUGUGUCUUGUGUCUGAAUCUAAAUUCCACGUGGUGAUAACAGGGGUGGAGGGGGAGUUUCCCUGAUUGAAACCCACUGAGGGUCAAGGAAUGGGGCGAAUUGCAGCCUGGCUGAGCUGAUCACAAUUAACGGGAUCAGCCUCACACGUGAAUGACUGAAUAAAUGCAAUAAACAGCUAAUAGACAACACUAUUACUCUGUUCAUCGCUUUGAUUACAGAUUUUUUUUUUCAUUGUUAUAAAUUUGAGCACAUGCAUUAUGUAAAUUGUAAAAUGAUGCUGUAGUGGAGACCUUGCUACAACACUAUUAAAAAUCUUCCCUUUUUGUGAGAUAGGAGGUUUGUAGAAUAGUGAGAUUCUUUCGUACGUCGAAUCUUAAUCUGUUCCUAAUGGUGGGAGUGUUGAAGUAAUGUUAUCUCACUGUGACCUGGUACUUUGGUAUUUGCAUAAAAUGGCAGUUCUGUAUACUCUUUUGGCUAACUGUAAAUAUAAAUGUUUUAUAUUAGCAUAGUUGAAUUUUUGAGGUACAGCCAUUUGUGUGAGAUUAGGAAAAACAACUUUAUUUCUAAGAACUUGUACAAAAAACUAUUUUCAAUAAAAUUCCCUACCUCA